rnacentral:lncRNA from 1 species
UCGACCACCUUAAUUCCUCGCUUCUCGUUUAUUCUAAUAAUGGCUUUCUUAAAUUUCCUUUUUUGGACUGGUUUACUUACGUAGAUUCUCAAGGUUCACUACAAGGCCUGGCAAUCUGCCUAAUCUGAGGGUGCAUUGGGAGCCAAUAAUGGCAAAGACAAUGGCUCUAUGGAUGGCAUUUAGCAUUUCAAUCAGUUCAAGAUGUUUUGUCAUAAAUUAUUUC